GACGAACGCUGGCGGCGUGCUUAACACAUGCAAGUCGAACGGAAAGGCCCUGCUUUUGUGGGGUGCUCGAGUGGCGAACGGGUGAGUAACACGUGAGUAACCUGCCCUUGACUUUGGGAUAACUUCAGGAAACUGGGGCUAAUACCGGAUAGGAGCUCCUGCUGCAUGGUGGGGGUUGGAAAGUUUCGGCGGUUGGGGAUGGACUCGCGGCUUAUCAGCUUGUUGGUGGGGUAGUGGCUUACCAAGGCUUUGACGGGUAGCCGGCCUGAGAGGGUGACCGGCCACAUGGGGACUGGGUUACGCCCAGACUCCUACGGGAGGCAGCAGUGGGGAAUAUUGCACAAUGGGCGGAAGCCUGAUGCAGCAACGCCGCGUGCGGGAUGACGGCCUUCGGGUUGUAAACCGCUUUCGCCUGUGACGAAGCGUGAGUGACGGUAAUGGGUAAAGAAGCACCGGCUAACUACGUG
rnacentral:rRNA from 1 species